rnacentral:misc_RNA from 1 species
GGCUGCCACGCUGCCGCCCGCCCGCUCGCCUUCCCACGCCUCUUCGUCUCGGUGGGUGUGUUUGGUCUUCAAAUUGAAAGCAAGAGCGCUGCAACACGAUUCGUAUCCGCACACGCACAAUCUCGCUGCCCCCUUUGGUAGCGGACGAGCGAUGCUUGCCUGGCGUGUGAAGGAGGUGGAGAGCCCGUAUGGCGACGUCGCAACGCUGCACUGGGCGGUGCCUGACGCGGAAGCUGACGCGCUCAACUCCACCGCUUUGCAGGUGGAGCUGGAGAGUGCGGAGGACCAGCUAGGGGCUGUCCUGUGGAACAGCAACAGUGCGGCUCUCCGCCACCUUCACACGCAUGUCUUCAACCUGCUACCUUCCUCCUCGUCAUCGGCAGCCCUGGCGCCCCCAGCGAUUCCGCUGGCCGGAAAGAACAUUGUAGAACUAGGCGCCGGUGUGGGUUGCCUCGGUAUCGCCCUCGCCAUGGCAGGUGCACGUGUCUUUAUCACCGACUUGAAGGAACUCCUGCCGCUAAUGGAGCACAAUGUGCGCCUGAACGAGAACCGGGUGCAGGCUCGCAGCCGCGGCGUUGGCCACUGCACCGCUUUUCAAUGGAAGUGGGGUCCCACCGUGAGCACGAUGGUGCAUAAGCAGCUGCAGAAAGAGGUAGCAGCGGUGAAGAUCGCCGACCAGCAACGGUGGCAACACUCUCCACGCGGAAACGCAACGCUGUCAACGAAAUUCGUGCUCUCUCACUCCGUGGAUCGUGUCGUGUCUUCUAUGGUGUCGUCGCUGUUGGCGCCGUCCGCGUCCCUGGCGAAGUGCGAGGAGGCACUGCGGUCAAUCGUAGCGGUGUCGUCAUCCACCACCGCGGUGGCCACCGACACGCCGCUGAAGACGCCGUUUCACUACGUAAUCCUGUGCGAUGCGCUCUACGGGAACCCAAAGGACUGGCCAGCGUUGCUCUACACGCUGACGGAGCUGAUGGCGACGAACCCGGACGAGUGCGAAGUCGUCAACUUCUGCGAGCAGCGCGUGAAUGAUGUGGAGGGAGCUUUUCUGAAGCUGCUGGAUGCGGAAAACGAGAAGAAGUUUGUGCCGAUGGAGAACAGGCAGCGCGAUGGCGAUGCCAUGUGGACUGAAGUACUCGACUGUGCGACACGGUGCUGCAAGUCGUCGUCGAGGUCAGCGGUAGAACAGCACAAGCAGCGCGAGGAAGCAGCGAACUCGCUGCUGAGCUACGUCCUCGUACAACGUCGCGGCGCAUACCGAUGGGUGUACAAGACGAAGGUGCUGCAGGACGCGCAGAGCGAGCUGAAUAUGGUCAUACGUGUCACGCGAAUUCGAUGGACGUGCGCGGAGGUCUUGAAAGGAGAAAAGGCGAAGCAGCGCCACAGCGGUGGGGUCGGCCAUCACGCGACAGCAUCGAGUGCUAUAUUCGGCGUGCCCGAACCGCCACGUCGUCGACGGUCCCGCGAUGAUGGCAUUGGUGAGAACGACGCUGCCACCGCUACCGAUGCACAGGCACCGUCAGAGAGCGUUGCCCCGAACGUGAACAAGAAGAAGUGCCGCCGCGGCGACGCACAUCCCCGCUGAUUGGCGAGGUGUGCGCCUUCUGCCGGAUGUGUCGUUGUGGCUGCUGUGGCUGCUUUCUUUUUUGCCUGCUCUUAAACUGAAGGAAAGACUGGCGUGCACGAGUAAUGAUCACCCCCCCCCCAACGGCGGAUUCCAAGGUCUUCUGAGAACGCGAAAAAGCACUAUGUCCGGGAGCGAUGCAGGCCCCUCUGUCUCUGCGCGUGCAUAUAUCCACAACCUUGCUGACCGCCACCAUCAUCUAUACAGGCGCACGGUCGACCUCCCCCUCCGCAUCCUCUUUCCUCGUCUUGGGUGUGGCCCCCGCAGUGACCGAUAAGCAUGCG